rnacentral:lncRNA from 1 species
CUGUAGAGGCCAGACGCGUGUGUGGCUCCAAAAGCAUCAAAAAAAAUCAACCAUAGAAUUCUUGACCUGAAUAAAGGUAAGAGAUCUGAUCUCUUUUUUUAUCUAGAUAUGAUCUAGGUUUUAGAUCUGAAACUGUUUCAGAUCUAGGGUAUUGAUUUGAUCAAUAUCAAAUCUUUUAUUUUUUGAUUUAUAAAUACAAUAUGACAUGUUAUAGAUCCUAAUUGUAGG